rnacentral:rRNA from 1 species
UACGUAGGGUGCGAGCGUUAAUCGGAAUUACUGGGCGUAAAGUGUGCGCAGGCGGCCGCGCAAGUCGAGUGUGAAAGCCCCGGGCUUAACUUGGGAAUUGCGCUCGAAGCUACGUGGCUGGAGUAUGGCAGAGGAAGGUGGAAUUCCACGUGUAGCGGUGAAAUGCGUAGAGAUGUGGAGGAACACCGAUGGCGAAGGCAGCCUUCUGGGCCAAUACUGACGCUCAUGCACGAAAGCGUGGGGAGCAAACAGG